UCCGUGUGCAAUUUAUUGCAUUCGCGGAUUCCGCUCGAUAGGCAAAGGGACCAGGACACGGAAAAAAUCGCUCCACACAUUUGCCAUCAUUCUUGGAGCUGUCUUUUGCGGUUAAAUGAUGGAUUGGAAGUAACGAAUUCCACUCCCCUUUGCUGGUCAGUUGUAGUGGCUUUUGAUUUCCUCCUACGGUGCAGCGAACCGAACGCGGCAAUUAAUGUAAUUCAUUGCUUCAUUCCCAAUCGAUCGCCGUUUUUGGUUUGGUGAACCGGGGGAAAAGGACUGACUGAACGAACUGUUCUGUGGCAGGCAAACAACGGUAGUAGGCUAUGAAUAUUCGAUCGAGAACGGAUGGGCCGUUGGGUUGAAGCUUCGAUGAACGGAAAAUUAGAACCAUAAAGCCCAGCACUGACCAGAAGAAGAAGAAGAAGAAGAGCUCCAGCACACCAAACGUACAACGACUCCAAAAAUUGGCCCCAUUAAUUGAGUUUCCAAGCAGGGACAGUUUUCCGAAAAACAGUAUCCUGUCCACUAUUUACGGAUCGCCUGUUUACCGAUUAGUUGUUGGGAAAGGAUGGAGGCACACAAGGAGGCACAUUUCGGAAGCACACAUGGACACAAACAUUUAUCACGGCGUGCUGGGGAUGAUGGGGAGGAGGCUACAACAAUGCAUGUCUAACGAGAGGUCCACGAGCCCGGUGGGCAUUCCGGACCGUGUGUACACGCGGAGGAAGAGAGGAUGUUUAUUGGCGUGGCAAGAUAAUGCCGGAUUAUGGUCUAGAUUUGGGAUUAGGAGCGAUAAUUUAGCGCUCGGAACGGAAUAACCACACAUUGCGGCGAGCGAGGUUUUGUAGUACGAUGGCCGGGUUGGUCUCGGUUUGUGUGAGUGUGUGUGUAGUUAAACUAUUUAACCCGACUCGGUACUUCGGAUAUGUCCUGUGGCAGUUGCGUGUCAUCGGAAAUGAUGGGACACACUCGCCGGCCAGUGUGUGAUUCAAUGUUUCGAGCGAAAACCGCACCGAAAAUGGGAGCUCCUGGUUGGUGUACAUUGCGUGAUCGUCCGCUGGCUCGUCUCGGCUAAUGAGUAAUUAGGAUUAUACGAGGUACACACCGCCGCCGAGUUUGCCUGGGGUUGGGUCCGACAUGCAUGCCAGGAUAUUCGAAACCUUCCGUCACCAUUUUGGGUCAUUGGUGUUUAAGUGUGUGUGUUGUGCAAAUAAUAAUUGAACUCGCGACUAAUCAGAUUCACGGUGCGUUACGAUUGUAAUUAUACAGAGGGCUAGAGUUAUAAAAGCGAAAGGAAUUAGCAGACGAACGAUACGGUCUAGUGUUCUUUUAGAGUUCAAUAAAAUCUGAUUCGAGCUCGGA